CUACGGGUCGCACCAGUUAGGAAUAAUCUACAAUGCGCGCAAGCGUGAUAGUUUGAGCCAGAGUGCUUAUCAUUUGAUCAGCUUUUGCCGAAUGUAAAAAGUUCGGCGAAUAAGGACUGGGCAAGAGCUGGUGCCAGCCGCCGCGGUAAUACCAGCGGUCCAAGUCGCAGCCACUUUUAUUGGGUCUAAAACAUCCGUAGCUUGCUUAGAAAGUUUCCUGUGAAAUCCGGCUUCUUAAGAGUUGGGCGGGCAGGAAAUACUACUGGGCUAGAGACUGGGAGACGUAAGAAGUACGUUCAAAGUAGCGGUUAAAUGUGUUAAUCUUGGACGGACUAACAAGGGCGAAGGCAUCUUACGAGAACAGUUCUGACAGUCAGGGAUGAAGGCUAGGGGCGCAAAACGGAUUAGAUACCCCGGUAGUC
rnacentral:rRNA from 1 species